GAUAGCUGGUUCUCUCCGAAAUAUAUUUAGGUAUAGCCUUCAGUAACUAGCAAUAGGGGUAGAGCUCUGUUUUGGGAAGGGCGGUAAACAACCGUACCAACCCUUGGCAAACUUCGAAUACUAUUGUGAAUGUCUGAGGAGUCAGUCUGCGACAGCGAAGUGCCGUAGACGCGAGGAAAAGAGUCCAGACCACCGUCUAAGGUCCCAAAUGUAAAUUAAGUGGCAAAGGAUGUAUGAUUGUUUAAACAGCCAGGAUGUUGGCUUAGAAGCAGCCACCAUUUAAAAAGUGCGUAAUAGCUUACUGGUCUAACGAUCGUGCGCCGAAAAUGUAACGGGGCUAAAUUUACAACCGAAGACGUGGGCGGUUCCGAUUUAUCGGGAUCGCGGUAGGAGAGCGUUGUAGGAGCAGUGAAGGUGGGCCGAGAGGUUUCUGCUGGAGCGACUACAAGUGAGAAUGCUGGCAUAAGUAAC
rnacentral:rRNA from 1 species